UACACCGCAGUGUUGCACAACGCCAGUUGAUCAUCGGAUCUAGACCGCUAAGAUCAAAAAGUAAACAGAAAUAAGAUUAUACUUCCGAAUUUCCGAUUUGGGCCAAUUUCUGGGUAUUAAAUUGUUACGAUUCGCAGACAAAGGGCGCAGAGAAUCUGUGUUGUCAACAAUGGGAACACCCACACGCAUUGUGGCCAUGUGACAAGUCGCAUAUUCGGCAAGAUCAAGCAAUCACAACAAAGUGCCAACAGGGCCAAUAGGGCUAAAUUGUAUUCCCAACAAAUAAUUGCUUAUCGUUUGUUUGGCGGACGCAGGCUGCUGCGGCUGAUAAUGUCAUUAUCCUGGGCGCAGAGAAGCACAAGGAGUCCGAGUCCUGCUCGCCGCAUGACGUCACCAGGUAGGCGACUUCGACUUCAUCGCCAUUUAACGGUGCUAAAAGCAGACAGCACAGUCGCGCGCGAAAUAAUAGGUGUGACAUUAGAAAAUGCAGUUGUUAUACUACAAAUUGCAUUUUACUUAUUAAAUCGAAGAGUGAUAAGUUGAAAUUGUGUAAUUUUAAUAUUUCACUUAUCAAGCUUGCUUAAAGGACAAGCCGACAAAUUGUCGCAAAACAUUUAACGCUGGGAAUUGGUUUCAGGAUCGGGUCGGCGGACUUGGUCAAGCGGCGGACGGGAGCGAGGAGUGUGGAGUGAGGGCGAAGGACCACAGGACGACGUGGUCGGCUCUCUCUUUCACUCGCUCCGUGAGCCACAAAAAAUUCCUUUGAAUUGCGUCCGUUGCAGCAGGAACACACAAACACGGCGACAUGUAUUUUCAGCAUUUUUUGUUGCCUUUUGCCUGUGGCUAUGCGCAAAAAAGGACAUCUCCGCCGGUGGUGGCUACGGUGGUAUGAUGACGGUGGUCCACAGGAUCGGUGGCUCGCUGGUUCGGAGGCAUUGUGUGCCUGUGCCCUCUAUUAUGCAUUGCGUACGGCCUCGCCCGGCGUGUUGACAUUUUUAUUCCAAACAGUUGAGCAAUAUUUAUAAACUGGCUGGAAAAAAAAGGAGCGCAGGGUGCUGGAGGAGAGGUGGGGAAUGCGGUGGGGGUCAUGGUGCAUGAUGCAUGCCCAAUGGCUUUAUUUCCGGAUGACCGUGUAAAACGUGCUCGUGGUUUGCAGCUUAUUAAAUGAGCUAUUUGAUUAACAUUGUUCGGGGCUCGUUGUUACGCUAAUGAAAGGACAAAAGCGAAUAUUUGGACUACAAGGCUCAAAGGACACAGGCCCAAAGCCAUUUUACAGGACAAUUCAUUAGAACAUGUUUAAUUCAGUGCAUGUUUUAUGUUCCAUGCAUCUUAUUAGAUGCCACAUUUUGCAUGCCCAAGAGCGAGGACUGUGCAUUUGUUGAUGUUUGCACGGGCGAAACACCUUGGUGUCCUGGGGGAAACCGCACGAGCCCGACCAGAUGAUGAUCUAAUUGAAUGACAAUAUUAUGCCAAGGCCUAAUUCAAUUUGCAUUCUUUGGGAAGAGGUGCAGGUGGAGGAGCUCGAGCUGGAAACUGGGAGCUGGGACAUGGGCUGAAUCUUAAACAAACACGGCAAUUACUGCCGACGGAUGCACUUGUCUGGCCAAAUGACUUGGUCCUGUAAUUAGCCCGGGGAUGAAAGGAUGCGGGAUGGGUGCUCGUUUUUCGGUUGGCCCUUUGUCGGCCUCCUCGGGGGUCCGCCUAAUUAUCACAUUUUUACUCAUUAAAUACACAUUUGCCUUGUUUUUUCGUUGCUGUUCCCCCUUUUUUUUUGCAGGUCCUGCGUGGAUCCUGCUGUCUAAUUACAGGGUAAUCAGGCUUUCAGCCGCUCUGGCCACCGAAUGAUGAUUG